AUUGAACGCUGGCGGCAUGCUUUACACAUGCAAGUCGGACGAGUGGCGAACGGGUGAGUAACGCAGCGGAAAGUACCGAGUAAUGGGGGAUAACUGUCCGAAAGGACAGCUAAUACCGCAUAUUAUUCGAGCGGCCGAUGUCGGAUUAGCUGGUGGGCGGGGUAACGGCCCACCAAGGCGACGAUCAGUAGCGGGUCUGAGAGGAUGAUCCGCCACACUGGGACUGAGACACGGCCCAGACUCCUACGGGAGGCAGCAGUGGGGAAUUUUGGACAAUGGGCGCAAGCCUGAUCCAGCCAUGCCGCGUGUCUGAAGAAGGCUUUCGGGUUGUAAAGGGCUUUUGUCAGAGAAGCGUUACCUGACGAAUAAGCACCGGCUAACUACGUGCCAGCAGCCGCGGUAAUUC
rnacentral:rRNA from 1 species